rnacentral:rRNA from 1 species
AACGAACGCUGGCGGCAGGCCUAACACAUGCAAGUCGAACGCGUGCCUUCGGGCACGAGUGGCGGACGGGUGAGUAACGCGUGGGAAUUUGCCUUGGGGUACGGAAUAACCGCGGGAAACUGCGGCUAAUACCGUAUACGUCCUUCGGGAGAAAGAUUUAUCGCCCUGAGAUGAGCCCGCGUCCGAUUAGGUAGUUGGUGAGGUAACGGCUCACCAAGCCUUCGAUCGGUAGCUGGUCUGAGAGGAUGAUCAGCCACACUGGGACUGAGACACGGCCCAGACUCCUACGGGAGGCAGCAGUGGGGAAUAUUGGACAAUGGGGGAAACCCUGAUCCAGCCAUGCCGCGUGAGUGAAGAAGGACCUAGGGUUGUAAAGCUCUUUCGGUGGUGACGAUGAUGACGGUAGCCACAGAAGAAGCCCCGGCUAACUCCGUGC